GGGUUGUGAGGUUAAGCGACUAAGCGUACACGGUGGAUGCCCUGGCAGUCAGAGGCGAUGAAGGGCGUGCUAAUCUGCGAUAAGCGCCGGUAAGGUGAUAUGAACCGUUAUAACCGGCGAUACCCGAAUGGGGAAACCCAGUGUGACUCGUCACACUAUCAUUAACUGAAUCCAUAGGUUAAUGAGGCGAACCGGGGGAACUGAAACAUCUAAGUACCCCGAGGAAAAGAAAUCAACCGAGAUUCCCCCAGUAGCGGCGAGCGAACGGGGAGGAGCCCAGAGCCUGAAUCAGCAUGUGUGUUAGUGGAAGCGUCUGGAAAGGCGCGCGAUACAGGGUGACAGCCCCGUACACAAAAGCGCAUGUGCUGUGAGCUCGAUGAGUAGGGCGGGACACGUGGUAUCCUGUCUGAAUAUGGGGGGACCAUCCUCCAAGGCUAAAUACUCCUGACUGACCGAUAGUGAACCAGUACCGUGAGGGAAAGGCGAAAAGAACCCCGGCGAGGGGAGUGAAAAAGAACCUGAAACCGUGUACGUACAAGCAGUGGGAGCNNGUGACUGCGUACCUUUUGUAUAAUGGGUCAGCGACUUAUAUUCUGUAGCAAGGUUAACCGAAUAGGGGAGCCGGAGGGAAACCGAGUCUUAAUUGGGCGUUAAGUUGCAGGGUAUAGACCCGAAACCCGGUGAUCUAGCCAUGGGCAGGUUGAAGGUUGGGUAACACUAACUGGAGGACCGAACCGACUAAUGUUGAAAAAUUAGCGGAUGACCUGUGGCUGGGGGUGAAAGGCCAAUCAAACCGGGAGAUAGCUGGUUCUCCCCGAAAGCUAUUUAGGUAGCGCCUCGUGAAUUCAUCUCCGGGGGUAGAGCACUGUUUCGGCUAGGGGGCCAUCCCGGCUUACCAACCCGAUGCAAACUGCGAAUACCGGAGAAUGUUAUCACGGGAGACACACGGCGGGUGCUAACGUCCGUCGUGAAGAGGGAAACAACCCAGACCGCCAGCUAAGGUCCCAAAGUCAUGGUUAAGUGGGAAACGAUGUGGGAAGGCCCAGACAGCCAGGAUGUUGGCUUAGAAGCAGCCAUCAUUUAAAGAAAGCGUAAUAGCUCACUGGUCGAGUCGGCCUGCGCGGAAGAUGUAACGGGGCUAAACCAUGCACCGAAGCUGCGGCAGCGACACUGUGUGUUGUUGGGUAGGGGAGCGUUCUGUAAGCCUGUGAAGGUGUGUCGUGAGGCAUGCUGGAGGUAUCAGAAGUGCGAAUGCUGACAUAAGUAACGAUAAAGCGGGUGAAAAGCCCGCUCGCCGGAAGACCAAGGGUUCCUGUCCAACGUUAAUCGGGGCAGGGUGAGUCGACCCCUAAGGCGAGGCCGAAAGGCGUAGUCGAUGGGAAACGGGUUAAUAUUCCCGUACUUGGUGUUACUGCGAAGGGGGGACGGAGAAGGCUAUGUUGGCCGGGCGACGGUUGUCCCGGUUUAAGCGUGUAGGUGUGUGUUCCAGGUAAAUCCGGUUCACUUUAACACUGAGGCGUGACGACGAGGCACUACGGUGCUGAAGCAACAAAUGCCCUGCUUCCAGGAAAAGCCUCUAAGCAUCAGGUAACAUCAAAUCGUACCCCAAACCGACACAGGUGGUCAGGUAGAGAAUACCAAGGCGCUUGAGAGAACUCGGGUGAAGGAACUAGGCAAAAUGGUGCCGUAACUUCGGGAGAAGGCACGCUGACACGUAGGUGAAGUGAUUUACUCAUGGAGCUGAAGUCAGUCGAAGAUACCAGCUGGCUGCAACUGUUUAUUAAAAACACAGCACUGUGCAAACACGAAAGUGGACGUAUACGGUGUGACGCCUGCCCGGUGCCGGAAGGUUAAUUGAUGGGGUCAGCGCAAGCGAAGCUCCUGAUCGAAGCCCCGGUAAACGGCGGCCGUAACUAUAACGGUCCUAAGGUAGCGAAAUUCCUUGUCGGGUAAGUUCCGACCUGCACGAAUGGCGUAAUGAUGGCCAGGCUGUCUCCACCCGAGACUCAGUGAAAUUGAACUCGCUGUGAAGAUGCAGUGUACCCGCGGCAAGACGGAAAGACCCCGUGAACCUUUACUAUAGCUUGACACUGAACAUUGAGCCUUGAUGUGUAGGAUAGGUGGGAGGCUUUGAAGUGUGGACGCCAGUCUGCAUGGAGCCGACCUUGAAAUACCACCCUUUAAUGUUUGAUGUUCUAACGUGGACCCGUUACCCGGGUUGCGGACAGUGUCUGGUGGGUAGUUUGACUGGGGCGGUCUCCUCCUAAAGAGUAACGGAGGAGCACGAAGGUUGGCUAAUCCUGGUCGGACAUCAGGAGGUUAGUGCAAUGGCAUAAGCCAGCUUGACUGCGAGCGUGACGGCGCGAGCAGGUGCGAAAGCAGGUCAUAGUGAUCCGGUGGUUCUGAAUGGAAGGGCCAUCGCUCAACGGAUAAAAGGUACUCCGGGGAUAACAGGCUGAUACCGCCCAAGAGUUCAUAUCGACGGCGGUGUUUGGCACCUCGAUGUCGGCUCAUCACAUCCUGGGGCUGAAGUAGGUCCCAAGGGUAUGGCUGUUCGCCAUUUAAAGUGGUACGCGAGCUGGGUUUAGAACGUCGUGAGACAGUUCGGUCCCUAUCUGCCGUGGGCGCUGGAGAACUGAGGGGGGCUGCUCCUAGUACGAGAGGACCGGAGUGGACGCAUCACUGGUGUUCGGGUUGUCAUGCCAAUGGCACUGCCCGGUAGCUAAAUGCGGAAGAGAUAAGUGCUGAAAGCAUCUAAGCACGAAACUUGCCCCGAGAUGAGUUCUCCCUGAGACUUAAAGUCUCCUGAAGGAACGUUGAAGACGACGACGUUGAUAGGCCGGGUGUGUAAGCGCAGCGAUGCGUUGAGCUAACCGGUACUAAUGAACCGUGAGGCUUAACCUUACAACGCCGAAG
rnacentral:rRNA from 1 species